CUAAUUCUCAGGCCAAGCCGGAGACCUCAAGAGGGUUGAAUGCUUUUCCUCCCUACACCAGACUGAAUCCCGCCAGAGCAAGUCCUAUCUGUCUUGCUUCCCUCCCGCUGGAUCCUCAGUCCCAGAACAGCUUCGGCAGGAAGUGGGAACUGGAAGAGUGAGUGAUCAAUGCCCACAGCAUUCUCAUUCCUGCCUCAGCUCUGCUCCGCUUUGGUCAUCAGGAGCUCUUUCAAACUCCUUGAUAUUUACUAUGUGAAAUCCUCAAAGCCACCCUUCUUCCUGGACCUCCUGUGGGCAAGGGGAAGGAGAUGUGCGGUCAGUUCCCCCAAGGAAGAGUGAGUCUCCAAACUGCUGGUUCCUGCAGAGGUGAUUUAUCACAUAGACACCAAAAUCUAAAGACCUUCAGGAAACAACUGCUGGAGACCAGAUCCACUUGACCAAGAGAUGGAUUUUUGGGAAGCCUCCCAGUUGCAGGUCAGAGGAAAGACAGUUCCCAAAGGGCCCUGGGACCUUGGAGCCCAGGCCUCUGCAUGGGCUGCCCCUGUGCAGGGAGGGGUGCAUGAUACCACGGCCACAGGCUGACCGUGGGAGCCCAGGCUUGGUGGUCCUGAGGGAUGAGUGAGGGAUGGUAGUCAUUCAGCAUCGCUCCGACUGCCACUGAGCAUGAUCUUCAUGGAAGGAGGGGAAGCAUUUGUGCUAGGCCUUCAUUUAUGCUUAUUUGCUACUUUAGCGAGUUGUUUCUAGCCCAAGAGAUGGCAGGCUAGGAUGGUGUUCAGUGCUGUUCCCUGCCUUUGCUUCUUGCUGGGACACUGGAAGGUUAAGAAAUACCUAAAGAAGAAAUGAAGUAAUUGCCCAAGGUACAGGAAGCUGGAACGUGGGUGAGUUGUCACAGACCACAGGGGUAUUUCCAGUGAGCAAAGAGCAGAGGGACUGUGGGUGGGUGUGGGUAUGGUGGAAGAGGAUCCCUGCCCACUCCGGGGACCUCAGAGGGCAGGGCUGCCUGGACAGCUUCUGGGGAACUCUCCCCUGCGGCCACCAUGGUGGGCCCUUCCUGUCAGGACCUCUCCUGCCACGUGGCUGGCACCAGCGGACCUGAGCAAAGGUGUCUGGGGCAUAGAGCCAGGUGUGGGCAGGAGGCAGGAAGUAAGGGGGAAAUAUGUGGUAAGAACAAUGGCAACAAAAUGUGUAAAAUGAACACGUGUCCUAUAGAAAGUCAGUAGUAAUUUGGAAAAUGUGAUAGGGACAAAAUUCCUCAGUAGUGACAACUCAGGAAUUAUUUGGAAAGGCAGAGGCUUAAUGUGGAAAAUGCUGACAGUCUCACUGAGGUUAUUAAAACAGUCUGAGUGAAGGAGAAACACACAUCACCUGGAGGCAAAGAUGGACUAGCAGGUGGAUUCAUUCUUCUGGGUUUUAAAGAUUUCAUAUAAGUUGAAACAAAAUUAUACCUAGAUCUUCUAAACCUGCUAAUGUGAGUCAAAGCUUAUCUGGAAGAAUAAGUGAACACGAAGAACCACAAGCAUCUUAAGACUAUCUAGGACAGAGAUUCUUUAUCAGAUCUUAAACCAUAGUACAAAGCUACAAUCACUCAAAAUGUGGUACAAGAGCUACCAUUUAUAUCAGUGGAAAAGCACAGAUUGCUCUGAAAAGAAUCCGAAUUCAUGUAGUAAUCUACUAAAUGCUAAUAGUAUCAGUAGUCAAGAAAGGAUUCAAUCAGUGCUACGGGACCAAGAAAUAAACUACCUACAUUAAGAUUAGAUCUUCUUAUAUGCCCUUAGAAUAUGAUAAAUUCUAGACAGAUUGGAUUUCAAAAUAAAACCACAAAAGAGCAAGAAGACUAAACAGAAGAAUGUUUAUCACCUCUAAGGUAAAAAUGACAUUUUUUUGGAAAAUAUGUGAGAGAGCACACAAAAAAUAGAAUUGGCAACAACAAAAAUAAAGAUGAAAAAGUGGGGGGUAGUUAUAAAAAUUUAUAGAUAUACUCCCCUCAUAUGUAAGAAUUUCUUAGAAAUGAUUGUAUCAAAUGAAAAACAGACAAAAGACAUGAAAAACACAAGAAUGAUAUAGUAAACAUGGAAAAAUGCUUAGCAUCAUUAUUGAUCAAAUAAAGCAGGUUUAGAUCAGAAAUUGUUACUGAUUUUACUGUUGGUAAAUGGGGCAUUUCCAAGUUCUCUGGUGGUGAUGGAAUGAUACAAGUUUUCUUCAUCCUUAACAAAAGACACUGAGAUGGUCCCUCUUAUUCUGCUUCCCUUUCUUGUUCGGUCCCUUCCUAAAGAAUUCAGGGCCACUCUCUUUGGGGGCUGAGCUCAGGGGUCAGGGCAGGACGAGGGGGCGUCCAGUGGGAGUGUGGCCAGUGUGGUGGGUCAUCGCUCACAGCUGCAGUGGUCGAGGCAGUGUGGGGGCACCCCGAGGGAUUGGCCUGAGUACCAUUUUCAGUGAAAGAAACAAGGACCUUUUGGACCGACAGCUCAUUUCAGUGCUGGAUCAGAGAAAGGUAAGCAGGGACUAUCAGACUGUGCAAGUCAGUGAGGAAUUGCUCUGAGUGAUGGGAACAUGUCAGAUACCACAGAAUCUCAUGUGAAGGGUCCCAUCUGCUAAUUCCAGGACAAUUGCAGUAUCAAAACAAGUAAAAUUAGGGACAAAAUGAAUGUAAUAGAAACCACACGUUAAGCUGAUGUAAAGAAAUACACAAGUUCAAAGUUCCAUGAGAAAUGGAACAUUUCAGUAGGAAAUCAGUGGAGAGUCCUGAUGCCCACCAGUGUAAUCAAGUGAUGAAAAGGAACCUUGAUGGUAAUAGGACAGAUUGCCACCUGAUGUGUGGUGCGGACAGUCCCUUGUGCAGCCUUCCUGUCAGAGAUGCAUCUAAUCCUGAAGAGACCAUCGGUAAACCCAGAUGGACAGAAGCUCCAAAAGAGCUGACCUGUAAUCUUCAAAUGCACCAAGAUCAUGAGAAUCAAGAUGAGACUAAGCUCCUCCUGACUAAGGGGGAAGGGCGAAGAAGCUGGCACGCGGUCCAAACUGGAUCCUUUUGCUCCAAUGGCAACAUUGGACCAGCGGCAAAACGUGGGUGGAGCCGAGGAUUAGGUUAAUGCAGUAUAACGGUUAGCGGAGCAUCAGUGCCCAUUUCCUGGCUUGAUUUUGAUGCGCUGCCCUGAUGCAGCACAGUGUCCAGGUUUGUGGGAAGCCUGGGGAGUGAUGGAGCCUCCCAGUCAGCAAUUUAUUUUUAGAGCAGUCAGAAAAAAACUUGCGCUGCACUUGCAACUUCUGCAUAAGCUUGAGAUUGUCACAUGCGUUCACACACACAUGCAUGCAGCCUUGAAGUAAACAGACAUGCUCUUCGGCCUAGCAUUCCUACCUCAGGAAUCUACCCUAGGAUGGUAACUGGAGUCCCCGCCCAAGCUGUGUGCAGUGAGAGGUUUAAUGCAUUAUAGUGAGACACUGGAAACCAGGUGAGUGCCCCACCAGCAAGGAUAUGGAUCCUGACACAAUCCUGGUGAAUAUCAUUUUGUCACUAAGAGUCAUGUUUGUGAAGAAUAUUUGACGACAGUGGAAUGUGUCCGUGGUGUGAUGUUCACAGAGACAAGUUUGUAGACGAGUAUAGCAAAAAUAUUCCAGUUGAAACAAAUGCGCAGAAAAAUCUGGGAGUCAGGGAGGUUCAGGAAAGCAGGCAGACUUUGGAUGACAUAAGGCACGCACAGGGAGGGGGGUGGAGGAGGGUUAUGGCACGUUUAGGAAGCAGACCUUACUGCCUUAUGGCUGGGCCUUCCCUUAGGAGAGCAGCCCCAGAAUUAGCUAAAACUCAGAGCCUAGUGACCUUUGGACCCUCAUAAGCCAGCCCAUGCCGGGCAGACUCCGAGGGCCGAGCACGAAGGGAAGUGAGCCUUCCAAGGGCCUAGCUCCCAUGUGGUCCUGUGGCCUCUGGGCUGCAGCUGGGGCUCUCGGAGUGUUCCCCAGGCUGGGCCACGGGCUCCCCACCCUCCAUGCUGCUCCUUCCCCUGUGCAGCCACCCUCUGGAAGGACGGCACUCUUCCCCAGACUCCCUCCGUUGCUCUCCUGUCUUCAGAGAGGACCCUGUCCCUCUGUGGAAGGGAGCAGCCUCAGUGCAGGCCCAGGGUCUGGGAGGAAGUUCCAGGCACAGCCAGUGGCCCAUGCAGGGCCAUGCUGACAGGUGCCAUGGACAGGUCCCUGCUGUGGACAGGUGUGUCCACCCUGAUCAGUGUUUCUGUCACCAGCCUGGCACGUCUUGGGCCAGAAAUCGCAAAUGGAGAUGGAGAUUCUAUAAUGGGAAGGUAGUUGUCAGGCUCCGUUACACUCCAAUGCCCAGGCCUCCGGACGAGGAUUGUAA